UACGGAGGAUGCAAGCGUUAUCCGGAAUGAUUGGGCGUAAAGCGUCCGCAGGUGGCUAUGUAAGUCUGCUGUUAAAGAGUCUGGCUCAACCAGAUAAAGGCAGUGGAAACUACAUGGCUAGAGUGCGUUCGGGGCAGAGGGAAUUCCUGGUGUAGCGGUGAAAUGCGUAGAGAUCAGGAAGAACAUCGGUGGCGAAGGCGCUCUGCUGGACCAUAACUGACACUCAGGGACGAAAGCUAGGGGAGCGAAUGGG
rnacentral:rRNA from 1 species